GACGAACGCUGGCGGCGUGCCUAAUACAUGCAAGUAGAACGCUGAAGAGAGGAGCUUGCUCUUCUUGGAUGAGUUGCGAACGGGUGAGUAACGCGUAGGUAACCUGCCUGGUAGCGGGGGAUAACUAUUGGAAACGAUAGCUAAUACCGCAUAAAAUUGAUUAUUGCAUGAUACUUAAUUGAAAGAUGCAAUUGCAUCACUACCAGAUGGACCUGCGUUGUAUUAGCUAGUUGGUGAGGUAACGGCUCACCAAGGCGACGAUACAUAGCCGACCUGAGAGGGUGAUCGGCCACACUGGGGCUGAGACACGGCCCAGACUCCUACGGGAGGCAGCAGUAGGGAAUCUUCGGCAAUGGGGGGAACCCUGACCGAGCAACGCCGCGUGAGUGAAGAAGGUUUUCGGAUCGUAAAGCUCUGUUGUAAGAGAAGAACGGGUGUGAGAGUGGAAAGUUCACACUGUGACGGUAUCUUACCAGAAAGGGACGGCUAACUACGUGCCAGCAGCCGCGGUAAUACGUAGGUCCCGAGCGUUGUCCGGAUUUAUUGGGCGUAAAGCGAGCGCAGGCGGUUAGAUAAGUCUGAAGUUAAAGGCUGUGGCUUAACCAUAGUAUGCUUUGGAAACUGUUUAACUUGAGUGCAGAAGGGGAGAGUGGAAUUCCAUGUGUAGCGGUGAAAUGCGUAGAUAUAUGGAGGAACACCGGUGGCGAAAGCGGCUCUCUGGUCUGUAACUGACGCUGAGGCUCGGAAGCGUGGGGAGCAAACAGGAUUAGAUACCCUGGUAGUCCACGCCGUAAACGAUGAGUGCUAGGUGUUAGGCCCUUUCCGGGGCUUAGUGCCGCAGCUAACGCAUUAAGCACUCCGCCUGGGGAGUACGACCGCAAGGUUGAAACUCAAAGGAAUUGACGGGGGCCCGCACAAGCGGUGGAGCAUGUGGUUUAAUUCGAAGCAACGCGAAGAACCUUACCAGGUCUUGACAUCCCUCUGACCGCUCUAGAGAUAGAGUUUUCCUUCGGGACAGAGGUGACCGGUGGUGCAUGGUUGUCGUCAGCUCGUGUCGUGAGAUGUUGGGUUAAGUCCCGCAACGAGCGCAACCCCUAUUGUUAGUUGCCAUCAUUCAGUUGGGCACUCUAGCGAGACUGCCGGUAAUAAACCGGAGGAAGGUGGGGAUGACGUCAAAUCAUCAUGCCCCUUAUGACCUGGGCUACACACGUGCUACAAUGGCUGGUACAACGAGUCGCAAGCCGGUGACGGCAAGCUAAUCUCUGAAAGCCAGUCUCAGUUCGGAUUGUAGGCUGCAACUCGCCUACAUGAAGUCGGAAUCGCUAGUAAUCGCGGAUCAGCACGCCGCGGUGAAUACGUUCCCGGGCCUUGUACACACCGCCCGUCACACCACGAGAGUUUGUAACACCCGAAGUCGGUGAGGUAACCGUAAGGAGCCAGCCGCCUAAGGUGGGAUAGAUGAUUGGGGUGAAGUCGUAACAAGGUAGCCGUAUCGGAAGG
rnacentral:rRNA from 1 species